UCAGUUCUGUUCCCUGCUAGGUGGCAGUUUGCCAGCGAUGGAGCAGACAUCGGGUUUGGAGUGUACCGCCGCACCAAGGACAGCAGGAGUCAGAAGGUAGCCGAGAUGACGCAGGUUCUUCCUAGCGAGCGGUACAACGCUCACCUGGUCCCAGAAGACAGCUGCCUCACCUGCUCAGAGCCGGGAGUCUAUGUGCUGUGUUUUGACAACAGCUACAGCGUCCUGCAGUCCAAGAAGGUUAGCUACAAUGUGGAGGUGAUUCCUCCUGCGGAUGAGCAGCUGCAGACUCUGUGCAGCAAAGGGGACGUGAGGCUGCAGUGAGGACACGCAAACAUUACAUCUCACAUGUUGGUCACCUCGCUGCCUCACGACUGCUGGAUUUAACCUCAGCGUCUCUCAGUGCACUGCGUGUUAGUUCUUAAUUGUUUGGAGCCUUAAUUGUAAAGCUGAUUAAUGCGAGGAUGAGAAGCAGUACUGUGAAUGCAGUGCACUGAAACUGACCCAAAAUGAUUCAGAACUGAACCACAGAGGUCAGUUCAAGCAGUCCAGCUGAGAUUCUAUAGUUAUCAAAGUAAACAUUGCUUUAACUAAAGUGUGAUAAAUUCACAUUUUAAUGAAUAAUGAUAAUUUUUUCAGAUAAUAUUUAUUUUUGGAUCAAUUUCCUGCAAGACUUGCUUGAUCAUGAACACAACAUGCAAUCUAUACUGCCACCUACAGGCCAGUUUUGGGUGAUCCAACGUCACCAGUAACAGCUUCCUCACACCACCUGGUUGUGUUUUCUGCACUUUGCUGAACUUUGUUGAGUUCUACUUGUAAAGUUAAUGUGGACCAGACCUGUCCUCUUCACCAGUGGUGGAGCUAGAAUUUGCCCUUUGCUCACUCAGGAGUGGAGAACCACUGAGCGGCAUCGGAGUUCAGAGCACAACAUCUGUAUUUUCCAAAUUCAAUUCAAAAAUACUGUAUUGAUUCCAAAGGGAAAUUAGAUUCAUUUAGACAAAAUAAACUUUCUUAAGGUGAAAAAAUACGACUGUAUUUAUAAAUUUAUGCUCUCAAAUCAUA